ensembl:lncRNA uncharacterized LOC107690931
GACCAAUGAGCGUUCGAGCUCCGGCAGCUAUGGCGUCUGUGCCCCGUCUGCUGAUUUGCAACCCGCCGAAAUAGAAUCGGUGAAGAAGGAGACCUUCGGUCGGUUCGCCAUGGACUGUUCUAGGAUCAGUAAGGUUUAAAUACGACUCUAACCAUAGAGCGAUACAAAGUUGCGUUAAAAAGCUGGUCAUCACUGUGCUUGUGAGAGGGAAAAAGAUGGAUCCGUCUGCAGGAAUGCACAUGUCUGCUGUUCCCCAGAACAAUGAAGUGGUCCACGUCUCUGUCGGUAACCCCAUUAUAACCAUGUAUCAGCCGCAACCACAACCUCCAAACAUCGCACAAAUCAUCACACAGCACGUGGUACCUCAAGAAGUCUCCUGUCAGGCUAUACCGCACAUGAUCCCAUCGCACAUCCAAAUGCCAAUUCACAUCCAGACUCAGUCUCACAUCCAGCCUGCUCCACAUCUGCAGACUCUACCGCAAGGCCACAUGGAAGCACAGUCUUAUAUUCCGACCCAAGACCACGUGUCAACACAAGGUCCAUCAGAGGACCAGAGUGCCGCGCCGUCUCAAGAUGGUGCAGUGAACUCACUGCAAGUCCCUUUUGCAGAUGUAGCCUCCCUGCUGGACCCUAACAUGAAGAGCUCAAAGGCUCGCAAAUACCAGAUCCAUUACGACGAGGUGAAGAGGAGAUUGGAACCACCUGAGAAGAUGUCUCUCCGAUCUCUGGCUGCCUAUACAAGAGUGAGUCGAGGUCCGGCUAGUAAGAAAACACUCUUGGAGUCUCUAAAUGUCUUUGGUCUGUCACCAAGCACCAAUACAGCAGUGUCCAGUUCCUUUUCCAAACUAACUGAAGGUGACACAGCUGCCCUUUGCAAAGACAUGAAGGAUUUUGCACUGCAAUAUGUCGAUUAUGAGAAUAUGGCGAAACAGUUGCUACCUGAAACAAACCAAGUGCAGCACUGGUCAAAAAUCAUUGAAACAAGGAAUUAUCUAGAGGAGAUGAGGAAGAUUUUUAAUGACCCGCUGAAUACACGUUUGUUCUCCAGUGUUACACAUGGUCUUGGUAACGGCAUGAUGGACGUGGCUCUCAAUAUCAUAGAUACCGUCAUCGACCGACAAAUCCGAAUCCUCUCAGGGAACACCGACCCCAAACCCGAACCUCCGGUGAAAAGGAUAAGGAAACGCAACCGCAAGCCCAAAGCCGCCACUGAAGACGGCAAACCUAAAGAAAAGGGCAAAAGGGGACGGAAGAAAGGGAAACAGAUGCGGCUGGAUUCUGUUGUUCCUGAGGUUCAACAAUCCUCAGAGAUGGAGAGCAGCAUGUUAACGCUAGUCUCUGUAGGAUACGAAACCAUUUCCAGUGGACUUAACCCCACCAAUGCAGGUCUUGCGUAACAUCACAUGCCUGAAAGGUGCAGAGAGACACUGUGAAUUCUGAGUGCAAAAAGUUUUUCAUAGAAAAUUUUAGUUUUAUAAAUGUUAGACUUCUCUCCUUCUCUCAAGACUGGCUAUAUUUUGUUUAUUUUUUUCUCACAAUCUGGUCAAUCAAGAAAAUAAUGUAGGUCUGAGAGGAUGUUGGCAGAGAUGUUUUGAUUUAAACCAAUCAUGUAUUGCCCUCAACCUUUUGUUUUGCCAUUUGUGGCAAAGAACAAAUGUACACAGACAAUUUUGUUUUUCAAGCACUAUGUUGUAUUUUCAUAAAAUGGUCACAAUAUCAGUUUCUGUUAGUCUCAUUUUAGAAUUUUAUCUCUGAAGUGUUUUUUGAUUCUGUUGUACUUAAUCUUACAAACUCCAAGCA